UAAACUUACUGCUACUUUUAAUCAAAUUUACACAUGCAAGCAUCCACACACCAGUGAAAUACGCCCUAACACAGUAUAAAUGGAGCAGGUAUCAGGCACAACCGCCAGCCAAAAACACCAAGCUUUGCCACACCCACACGGGCCCUCAGCAGUGAUAAACAUUAAGCAAUAAGCGAACACACCAAACUAAAGCUUGACUUAGUUAUGAUUAACAGGGCCGGUAAACCUCGUGCCAGCCACCGCGGUUACACGGCGGGCCCAAAGCAGCAGACUCUCGGCGUAAAUAGUGGCCAGAAUAAUUACCCCCACAUUAAAAACUAAACCAUACCCCAACCGUAAAACACAGGCUAAAUGAAAUCAAGCACUUUUAAUAACAGGUAAUUUGACCCACGAAAACUAAGAAACAAACUAGGAUUAGAUACCCUACUAUGCUUAGUCGUUAAUAUGAUAUUAUAGUACUAAAAUAUCCGCCAGAAAACUACGAGCGAAAAGCUUAAAACUCAAAGGACUUGGCGGUGCUCCAUACCGACUUAGAGGAGCCUGUCCUAUAAUCGAUACCCCACGCUAAACCC
rnacentral:rRNA from 1 species